AGUAAAUGGUUGUUGUCAUAAAG
rnacentral:snRNA from 1 species